ensembl:misc_RNA Metazoa_SRP Metazoan signal recognition particle RNA
GCCGGGUGCCGUGGCGGGCACCUGUAAUCCCAGCUACUCAGGAGGCUGAGGCAGGAGAAUUGCUUGAACCCGGGAGUUGGAGGUUGCAGUGAGCCGAGAUUGUGCCACUGCACUCCAGCCUGGGUGACAGAGGGAGACUCCAUCUCAA